UACGUAGGGUGCAAGCGUUGUCCGGAAUUAUUGGGCGUAAAGAGCUCGUAGGCGGUCUGUUGCGUCGGCUGUGAAAACCCGGGGCUCAACUCCGGGCCUGCAGCCGAUACGGGCAGACUAGAGUGCGGUAGGGGAGACUGGAAUUCCUGGUGUAGCGGUGGAAUGCGCAGAUAUCAGGAGGAACACCGGUGGCGAAGGCGGGUCUCUGGGCCGUAACUGACGCUGAGGAGCGAAAGCAUGGGGAGCGAACAGG
rnacentral:rRNA from 1 species